GCGUCUCUCCGGCUCCUGGCGCGGGGCUGACUCGGGGGCCGCUGGCCCCUCUUGGCCGCCGUCGCCACGCACCGAGUUUGUGUUUAAGGAGAAACUAACAAUGAAAACGGCCUCGUUGACGGAGGAAAAGUUGGAAUGCAGCCUCUGGUGCUGUUUGAGCGAUCCCUCUCCCCGGGGCCUGGCCGCGCGCUGCUGUGUUCUGGAAGGGCUCAUUGUACAGUCAAGGCGGCAGGGCCUUCUUCUGUCACCCAUGCUGGAGUGCAGUAGCAUGAUCACAGCUCACGGUAGCCUCCACCUUCUGGGCUCAAUCCUCCUACCUCAGCCUUCCAAGUAGCUGGGACUACAGUCUUGAGGAUCCAUUUUCUGAGACGGUGAUGGGAAAGAUGUUGGUUGUCAAGUGGAAUCUCAGCAGUCAUUUUCAGACAAAGUUAGAGAAAACAAGUAUGGAAGAUGCCUGAUUCUCAAAGAGUCAUCCAGUCUUGGGAUUACCGCCUACGUCCAUGGAAGUGAAAGUCCUCUUUUUCUUUGUACCACUUACUGAG
rnacentral:lncRNA from 10 species